rnacentral:rRNA from 1 species
AUUGAACGCUGGCGGCAUGCUUUACACAUGCAAGUCGAACGGUAACAGGCCGCAAGGUGCUGACGAGUGGCGAAGGGGUGAGUAAUGCAUCGGAACGUGCCCAGUCGUGGGGGAUAACGCAGCGAAAGCUGUGCUAAUACCGCAUACGAUCUAUGGAUGAAAGCGGGGGACCGUAAGGCCUCGCGCGAUUGGAGCGGCCGAUGUCAGAUUAGGUAGUUGGUGGGGUAAAGGCUCACCAAGCCAACGAUCUGUAGCUGGUCUGAGAGGACGACCAGCCACACUGGGACUGAGAAACGGCCCAGAAUCCUACGGGAGGCAGCAGUGGGGAAUUUUGGACAAUGGGCGCAAGCCUGAUCCAGCAAUGCCGCGUGCAGGAAGAAGGCCUUCGGGUUGUAAACUGCUUUUGUACGGAACGAAAAGGUUUGGGUUAAUACCCUGGGCCGAUGACGGUACCGUAAGAAUAAGCACCGGCUAACUACGUGCCAGCAGCCGCGGUAACAC